GGCCCGCUGGCCUAAUGGUAAGGCGUCAGAUUUCGGUUCUUGAACUCCUCUGAAGAUUGCGUGUUCAAGUCGCGCGUGGGUCG